rnacentral:lncRNA from 1 species
GCUUUGAGUUAGAUGAAAGCAAUGAUGAAGACUAUUGGAUGGACAAGGACAGUAGUAGUCAUGAUGAUGAUGAAGAAGUUGAGUAUGGUGAUGAAGAUGUUCAGCCUAAUAUUAAUGUAGGAGAACCUCAACCUCAUUUGCAUGAAUCUCUAUAAUUUUUUAACAACAUAAAUUUAGAUGAUGGUGGUUGUGUUAGUGC